UUCCUGUCCCGUCAACAGUUUGCAACCUAAAGAGAAAAAAAGUGGUUAGGACACCAGGCAGCAUUUCUUACAUAUUUUCCUGAUCCGCCUGUAUCACAGGGAAGGCACAAGUGGAUCCUGAAAUUCAGGAGAAACGGAGGUGCUGCCUGCCCUUCUGGGAAUGCUGAUUCCCCUCGACCCAGACUGACAAUAAUUGUUAAGGUUAAAACAUCCGAGCUUUAACCUGGAUGGAAGUCACUCACUGAUCUGGGCAAGUCUCUGAAGCUCCUCUGAGCCACCAUCACCUUCCUGCCGCUGAGUCAGGUUUUUGGAGAUCACUUGCAAGAGCACAAAAAUUUCCUUCUAGCUUUCAACAUCAUUGUGAAACUCAAGAGGACACUUAAAUAAGACUGGUGGUGAAAAUCGUGGUAGAAAUCAUUGGAUUCCAGGCCUGGCGGGGGAGGGAGCAGGAGCACGUGGUGCAAAGCUGUGACUUGUUCUCACUACCAGGCUUCGGCCCCCAGAACGGGCAUUUUAAAAGUGCUUGUUCUCGUGGUUCAGAACUGCUCACGCUUGUAAUUUUGCACGCCUGUGAUUUCUUGCCCAUCUCUCUCUUCAUGGGCACCCCAAGGCCCAAGAUGGCCUCCACCCUCCCUGCCCAGCCUGGGGUCAGCACAUUGUAGGUGCACAGUCAGCAGCUGAUGGAAGAGAUGUUCGUGCUUGCUGAGACAUGUGCUAUCGGAUUGGGAAGGUUUCCUGAAUGAAUUUCCACAUCUCCUGGAUGAAGAGGGCGCCUCCUUUUCCAGGAAUUGGAACAUCCAAGAGCCAUGUUGCCAGAAUCCACUUUUUCUUUAGCGCCUAAAAUUUAAGUGCUAGGAACUUAAAACUCCCUUGGUAGAGAUGACUUCUGGUUUUCUUGUAUUCCUCCCAGCUCCCUGGACCCGCAGCCCUGGCUCUGCAGUGAGGGGUGUUGGGCCGGGGACUCAGGAGAGACUCUGUAGGAAGUGAAGUGACGGCAAAAAUCAGGGCUCUACUGAGCCUCGGGCCUUUGAAACAUAUUGUGUUAAUGCAGCAGAAGCUCUCCUGGUGGUUGAGCCAAAGACCUUUCAGUAGAAGAGAAUGUACAUUUUAAUCUAAGUACGUUUACUCUGACCUUGGGUUGCAACUUGGCAGGAAAGUCUGACUUGGUUCAAGACUGCUGCCUUGCCUGCUUUAUUUUUAUUUUUAUAUUUUUAUUUUUAUUUUUAUUUUUUUGCCUGCUUUAUACUUCGGGGAACACAGUCGGAUUUCAUCCACUGACUGAUUAUUCACCCUUGCCUAAAGUUCUGACCUCGUGUCUGUGACUGGGGAGAUUGUCCCUGAAGUCCAAGCCUCCCCUCUCUGACUGGGAAGAUUGUCCUCUCUGUGAGGACCCUGGACUGAGGAAGAAGAGGGAGGACACUGUCCUGGCCACUAUAACUGCCAGAUCAGCCCUGGCCCCUGGGAGUAGCCUCCAUAGGCAGACACCUUCACCCGCAACACUGCCCAGAUUCAGAAAAUGGGGUUCUGCGUGGAAGUUGGGGGCAGGGGCUACUGAGCAGUAGAAGGUACAUCUGGUCUUGCUUUUUUAAAUUUUUAAAAAAUUUUUUAAUUAAUUAAUUUAUUUAUUUUUUAUGGUCUUGUUUUUCUGAGCCAUCUUUUCCUUUGGUUCAUUUUCUGAGCUAGAGGCUAGGCUGGAUCCAAGGUGCAGCACCUCCUGGUCUCCCUCCCUCCCUAGAGCUCUGUGAGUGCUUGACCUUGCUGGGGUUUGGCGUGUGCCCCGUCCCUGGGAAGCAUGCAGGCUCUUCCACCGAGCUGCCCUGACCUCGUGCUCUGCAACAGCAGUGCCAGGCUUGAGGCCACUGAGCGCCCCCGAGCCUGUUCCCGCCUCUCACACCACCAUUGGCAGGGCCAGCCCGCCCCAGAUGCUGUUCUGUACUCACGGGCACCACGAGUGCUGCUCCUGCUUCUUUCCCACGCAGCUGUCUUUACUGUGGGGGGCCUGCUGCUGUUUCUAGUACUUAGGAGUCCACCUCGUCCAGCCGGCCCGGGAGCCCCUCGGCUCCUGCUGGCCCCUGUGCUGAUGUGAGGAUGGUCACCACAGACAGUGAGUGCCAUUGGCCCCGUCCCAGGCCCACUGAGUGGUCAGGAGCUCCAGCGCGGAGCCAGGAUUCCUACUUCACGGGCCUCCAGCUGAUUCUUGGGCACAGGACAGCCGUUGCCAGUGCUCUGACCUGACAGAUGUGCUCUGCCGGAACUCACCUCUGGGAUGAAACUGACAUAUUACAGGUGCAUUUUCCACCCUAGAAAGCCAUAAUUAAAGCAGUCUGGUCUGGCUUGCUCUAGGCAGAGCAUCACGGGUUCAUCUGUUUGGUGGCAGAAGGCUAAGGUGAGAGCAGGCUCCCACCAUCUCCGGCUGGACACCUAGCAGCCGAGGAAGGAGGCGGCAUGUGCUCUGUAUCCUGCUGAGCGUGUGUGGCAAGGCCGCAGAGGGGCUUUCUCCUCUCGGGCAGAGGCCCUGCCCACCCAUACGCCGUCUUCAUCCACAACCACUUGCGUGAAACCCGUUUCUGGGACCUCCCGGGCUGGGGAAGGGGACACAGUGACUCUCCCAGGAACACCACCCCUGUGUGUCCCCACCCCACACAGAAGAGGAACUGUCCAUCAGUGGUCCACAUCCAAAGAAGCUAGUGACUAAAUAUUCUAGAAGCUGCUGUGAUGGUCAGCUGAGGCGUCAGUUUGGCCAGGCUGCAGUACCCAGUAACUCAGCCAAACACCCAUCCGGGAGCUGCUGGGAAGGCUUUGUGCAGAUGUGGGUGGCAUAUGUCACUGGUUGACUUUUAAGAUUAUUCUCGUUAAUGUGGGUGGGCCUCGUCCAAUCAGUAGAAAGGCCUUAAGAACAAAGCCGGGGGUUUCCCGAGGAGGAAAGAAUCCACCUGUGGACUGCAGCGUCAGCUCCGGCCUGAGAGCGCCCAGCCUGCCAGGCUGCCCUAGCCAGCCCCACAGUCAUGUGAGCCAGUUCCUUGAAAUAAACCUCUUCAUCUGUA